GAAGACAGGUUGUUGCAGGCAGACAGGUGAGAGUAAACAGACAAAAAAAUGAAGAUUAGAGACAGACAGGAAGACAAAGAAAGACAGACUGAAAGGAAGACAAAUAGUCUCAAGAUUUGUAAAGCAGAGAGAGAGAGACAGUUACAAAGUAGGUGAGACAGUUUGGGAGGCAGAGAGACAGACAACAGAGAAGAGAGAGAGACAGAUAUGCAGAGGGGGCAGACCAAAGACAGACAGGACUGUAAGAGACGGGUAGGAGAUGUACGUUGAAAGUUAGCAAGACUGUUAGGAGGACUGUGAGACAGGUACCUUUAAAGAGAGAGAGACAGUUGGGACAAAGCAUAUCAGAGAGAGAGACAGGUGGGACAAAGCAUAUCAGAGAGAGAGACAGGUGGGACAAAGCAUAUCAGAGAGAGACAGGUGGUUGCAAGCAGACAGUUGAGAGUAUAAAAAGACUGAACAAGGUAUUGAUGCCGUGGGACAGGAACAGAAAGAAAGGAGAGACAGACAGGAAGGCAGAGAGACAGAUAAGACGUCAGACAGACAGGUGGGCAGUGAGACAGAUAAUGGGUCAGACAGACAGGUGGACAGUGAGAGAGAGACAGGACAGUUGACGUAGUGUCAGGACCUGGAGACAGGAAGGAUGACAACAAGGAGGCAAUGAGAGACAGAUAUAAGGUAGGAGAGACAGGUGGACUAGGAGACAGACAGGUGGGACAUACAGCAUGCCAGGGAGACAGACAGGAUGUUGCAGGCUGACAGGUGAGAGACGGAGGGAGAGACAGACAGGAGAGCAGUGAGAGUAGAGAGAGACAGACGGGAUUGACCAAUAUUAUCAGGACAGACAGGAAGGCAAAGGGAGACCACUUCAAGGUAGGUGAGACAGGUGGGAGGCAGAGAGACAGACAGACACGGGAGAAGAGAGACAGAUAUGCAGAUCGUAAGAGACGGCCGACAGACAGACAGGUAAUGGGAAAACAGACAGACAGGUAACGGGAAAACAGACAGACAGGAGGACUGACAGGGAGUAAAUGUUUGGGAGACAGGGGGAAGACUGAGUGACAGACAGACAGAUAUGCAGAGGUGGCAGACCUUCAAAAGACAGACAGGAUCGUAAGAGACGGGUAGGAGAAAGAUAGCAAGACGUUAGGAGGUAUGUGAGACAGGUGGAUCUAAGAGAGGAAGACAGGUGGCUGCAGGCAGACAGGUGAGAGUGAGGACAACCAGUGGAACCUGAACAC